rnacentral:rRNA from 1 species
UACGUAGGGGGCUAGCGUUAUCAGGAUUUACUGGGCGUAAAGGGUGCGUAGGUGGUUUCUUAAGUCAGGAGUGAAAGGCUACGGCUCAACCGUAGUAAGCUCUUGAAACUGGGAAACUUGAGUGCAGGAGAGGAAAGUGGAAUUCCUAGUGUAGCGGUGAAAUGCGUAGAUAUUAGGAGGAACACCAGUAGCGAAGGCGGCUUUCUGGACUGUAACUGACACUGAGGCACGAAAGCGUGGGGAGCAAACAGG